UUGGUUGCGGUAGCACAUAGGUUAAAAGAUAACACGGGUGUCCUAAUAUGAGCUCAAUGAAAACAAAAAUAUCAUGUGGAACAAAAGGGUAAAAGCUCAUUUGAUUUUGAUUUUCAGUACGAAUACAAACCGUGAAAGUGUGGCCUAUUAUGAAAAUGAAGUUAUUUU
rnacentral:ncRNA from 1 species